rnacentral:rRNA from 1 species
ACGGGGCCCGCACAAGCAGCGGAGCAUGUGGUUUAAUUCGACGCAACGCGAAGAACCUUACCAGGGCUUGACAUCCCUCGCUAGCUGCGGAAACGCGGUGUUCCCUUCGGGGACGAGGAGACAGGUGGUGCACGGUUGUCGUCAGCUCGUGUCGUGAGAUGUUGGGUUAAGUCCCGCAACGAGCGCAACCCUUGUCCUUAGUUGCCAACGUAAAGUCGUGCACUCUAGGGAGACUGCCGGAGACAAUUCGGAGGAAGGUGGGGAUGACGUCAAAUCAUCAUGCCCCUUAUGUCCUGGGCUACACACGUGCUACAAUGGGCUGUACAAAGGGUAGCGAAGCCGCGAGGUGGAGCCAAUCCCAUAAAACAGCUCUCAGUUCAGAUCGCAGGCUGCAACUCGCCUGCGUGAAGAUGGAGUUGCUAGUAAUCGUGGAUCAGCAUGCCACGGUGAAUGCGUUCCCGGGCCUU